UUCAGGCAGCUGAAGCAGGGCCUUGUUGCACCUUCCACUGUGAGCCACACAAAAGUUGACUGGUGUUAGUGCUAGUACAUUUCAGACCAGCAGAAGCCUGGAGUCCUGCCCCCUGUUGUCCCCCACUUCCACCCCUGGCCAAACACCACUUACUUGUGACUGCUUCCAGCGUUUAUUCCAGGGGAGCAGGCAGGGAAGGGUUAACCUACCUGCCC